rnacentral:rRNA from 1 species
AUUGAACGCUGGCGGCAGGCCUAACACAUGCAAGUCGAGCGGAUGACGGGAGCUUGCUCCUUGAUUCAGCGGCGGACGGGUGAGUAAUGCCUAGGAAUCUGCCUGGUAGUGGGGGACAACGUUUCGAAAGGAACGCUAAUACCGCAUACGUCCUACGGGAGAAAGCAGGGGACCUUCGGGCCUUGCGCUAUCAGAUGAGCCUAGGUCGGAUUAGCUUGUUGGUGAGGUAAUGGCUCACCAAGGCGACGAUCCGUAACUGGUCUGAGAGGAUGAUCAGUCACACUGGAACUGAGACACGGUCCAGACUCCUACGGGAGGCAGCAGUGGGGAAUAUUGGACAAUGGGCGAAAGCCUGAUCCAGCCAUGCCGCGUGUGUGAAGAAGGUCUUCGGAUUGUAAAGAACUUUAAGUUGGGAGGAAGGGUUGUAGAUUAAUACUCUGCAAUUUUGACGUUACCGACAGAAUAAGCACCGGCUAACUCUGUG